rnacentral:rRNA from 1 species
AUUGACGGACUGAAGGCUCUUUUCUCGAUUCCGUGGAAAGUGGUGCAUGGCCGUUUUUAGUUGGUGGAUUGAUUUGUCUGGUUAAUUCCGAAAACGAACGAGACCUUAACCUGUUAACUAUGUGAUGUUAAAAUUCGACUUCGGUCUCAAUAUUUGAUAUUAAAAUUUAAUACUUCUUAAAGGAACAAUUCAAACUUUAAUUGAAUGGAAGUUUUAAGGCAAAAACAGGUCUGUGAUGCCCUUCGAUGUUCUGGGCUGCACGCGCGUUACACUGAUAUGUUCAAUGAGUUUUAAAUUUCCUAGUCUGAAAAGACGUGGUAAACUUAGAAAAACAUAUCGUGAUUGGAAUAGUAUUUUGUAAUUAUCGCACUUGAACGAGGAAUUCCUAGUAGGGGCAAUUCAUCAAAUUGCCCCGAUUACGUCCCCGCCCC